rnacentral:rRNA from 1 species
UACAGAGGUCUCAAGCGUUGUUCGGAUUCAUUGGGCGUAAAGGGUGUGUAGGUGGCGCCGUAAGUCGGGUGUGAAAUUUCGGAGCUUAACUCCGAAACUGCAUUCGAUACUGCGGUGCUUGAGGACUGGAGAGGAGACUGGAAUUCAUGGUGUAGCAGUGAAAUGCGUAGAGAUCAUGAGGAAGACCAGUGGCGAAGGCGGGUCUCUGGACAGUUCCUGACGCUGAGGCACGAAGGCCAGGGGAGCAAACGGGG